rnacentral:rRNA from 1 species
GAUGAACGCUAGCUACAGGCUUAACACAUGCAAGUCGAGGGGUAACGAGAGGAAAGCUUGCUUUCCUUGUCGACGACCGGCGCACGGGUGAGUAACGCGUAUCCAACCUGCCCCCAACUAGGGAAUAACCCUGCGAAAGUAAGACUAAUACCCUAUAAUUUCCUCAGAUGACAUCUGACGAGGAAUAAAGAUUUAUCAGUUGUGGAUGGGGAUGCGUCUGAUUAGCUUGUUGGCGGGGUAACGGCCCACCAAGGCAACGAUCAGUAGGGGUUCUGAGAGGAAGGUCCCCCACAUUGGAACUGAGACACGGUCCAAACUCCUACGGGGGGCAGCAGUGAGGAAUAUUGGUCAAUGGGCGGAAGCCUGAACCAGCCAAGUAGCGUGCAGGAUGACGGCCCUAUGGGUUGUAAACUGCUUUUAUACAGGAAUAAAGUUAGCCACGUGUGGUUAUUUGUAGGUACUGUAUGAAUAAGGACCGGCUAAUUCCGUGCCAGCCGCCGCGGUAA